AAUUAUCUGGUUUUGUGCUAUUAUUGCUUGUCUUUCUUUUUGUCCCAGGUUCCUACAGGCUGAGAACAUAUAUCCUGCCAUUUCUUUUGGGACUGUCCUGUAGUGGUAACCAACACAUACCAGUAGAAGCCUAGCUGCAACAGCACGGAAUUCAUAGCAGACUGGAAAUGCCUCCAAACAAACUAGAUAACUCUUCAGUUUUUCUCUCUGGAAGACAUCCAUACUACUCUGGGUACAAUCUUCUCAGUAUCAAGGAGUGCUGCUGAGAUGAUAAUCACAAUUUGAAUAAAGGUCAAUUGCUAAGUUUAUUCA
rnacentral:lncRNA from 1 species